rnacentral:rRNA from 1 species
UACGAAGGGUGCUAGCGUUGUUCGGAAUCACUGGGCGUAAGGGGUGCGUAGGCGGCUUGACAAGCCAGAGGUGAAAGCCUGGAGCUUAACUCCAGAACUGCCUUUGGAACUGUCAGGCUAGAGUGUCGGAGGGGAUAGCGGAAUUUCUAAUGUAGCGGUGAAAUGCGUAGAUAUUAGAAGGAACACCGGUGGCGAAGGCGGCUAUCUGGACGACAACUGACGCUGAGGCACGAAAGCGUGGGGAUCAAACAGG